AUAAAUCUAUGAUUAUGAUUAUGGUUUUAUUGAAUCCCACAUUACACAACAACCGAACCCACAAUCACUUCUCCUUCUCCUUCAGCUAAAACGCACACUGGAAACUAAACGACAAUCACUUCUUCUCCUCCUCCUCUAGCUCAAAGGCAGACACUGGAAAAGUCCUCGAUAUCCCUGUUGGAUUACCGAAAGUUAUUUUCUUAGUAUCGCCAGAGUCCACAUAGAUAUCAGAGAUCGUAACCCAAAUCAGAAACUCCUUGCUCUUCACCCCAGUCAGCCUCCGCAUCCGCCGGUCCUCCACGAACGCCGUCACCUCCUUAUCGUACGACACGUUGCGUCCAAUUGCACGGAAUUUGUGCUCUUUCCUUUUCUUCUGCUUGAGCCAGACGAACCCAGUGGUGCGAUUGUAGCCAACCUCAACGAUGUCGUCAAGGGGCAGGAGGCCCAUGGGGAGGCGGAUCUCCUGGAGGAGGUCGAGGGACUUCUGCUUGCAGAGGGACUCGCCGUGGUAGAUCUCCGCUCCUUCUCGGUGAUUUGUUAAUGGUUGAGACGUCAUUUGGGUAAAUGGAGUUUUCACUCGAAAAUAGGGGUUAUUUUUUUUCGCAAAGGA
rnacentral:misc_RNA from 1 species